AAGCGGCGCACGGGUGAGUAACACGUAGGUGACCUACCCCCGAGUCCAGGAUAACCUGCCGAAAGGUGGGCUAAUACCGGAUAUGACCACGGGAGCCUCGGCUUCUGCGGUGAAAGGUGGCCUCUGCUUGCAAGCUACCGCUCGAGGAGGGGCCUGCGCGCCAUUAGCUAGUUGGUGAGGUAACGGCUCACCAAGGCGAUGAUGGCUAGCUGGUCUGAGAGGAUGGCCAGCCACACUGGGACUGAAACACGGCCCAGACUCCUACGGGAGGCAGCAGUGGGGGAUAUUGCGCAAUGGGCGAAAGCCUGACGCAGCGACGCCGCGUGGGUGAUGAAGGCCUUCGGGUCGUAAAGCCCUGUCGAGGGGAACGAAACGGCUGCGACCCAAUACGUCGUGGCCCUGACGGUACCCCUAAAGGAAGCACCGGCUAACUCCGUGCCAGCAGCCGCGGUAA
rnacentral:rRNA from 1 species